rnacentral:rRNA from 1 species
UAGGGAAUCUUCGGCAAUGGACGAAAGUCUGACCGAGCAACGCCGCGUGAGUGAAGAAGGUUUUCGGAUCGUAAAACUCUGUUGGUAGAGAAGAACGUUGGUGAGAGUGGAAAGCUCAUCAAGUGACGGUAACUACCCAGAAAGGGACGGCUAACCACGUGCCAA